AAUAUUCUUUUUUUCCCCUUCUUUUUCCCAAAAUCGAUUCCCCCCAUCCCCAAAAAUCUUUCUUUUUUCCCCAUUUUAUUUUUCCCAAACCAUUUCUUCCAUACCCCGAUUCCCUUUAUUUUUCCCCCCAAUUUCCCCAAAUUGGCAGCCCUCUACAUCUCCUCAAAGGGUACAGAUUCUUCUUCUCUUAUAGUUAAAAAGUUGUCAUUUUUCAACCAAAUACAAACCCUAAACUGCGUCUCUCCCAAUUUCUUCUUCACUUUGAGGUUUUCUUGCAAUAGUUUAUAGAGAGGUGAGACCAAGUAAUUUUGGGUUACAACAGAGAAACCAAAGUAACAAAAAAGGUGGAUAUAGAUGGGAUAUUGGGUAACCGAGAUUCGAAGCUAGGCAAAUCAAGCAUACCCAGGAGACGACAAUGGGUUAAAAGAAGAGAAACAUGACUGGUUAUACUUGGUGUCAUCCUCAAUGCCGUUUACAUGUUAAGCAUUUUCGACAUCUACUUCACGACCCCCUUUGUUCAUGGCCUGGAUCUUGUCUCAUAUCGCUUCUCUCCUCCUGCUAAACGACUUGUUCUUCUUGUUGCCAUGCUUUCAAUAAUAUGUUAGAUGGGUUGAACAUGUUUGAUGGAACUGAUGGUCAUUACUUUCACACGGGGUCAAGGGGUCACCACUCGGUUUGGGAUUCUCGUCUUUUUAAUUAUGGAAGCUGAGAAGUACUGAGGUAUCUUCUUUCAAAUGCAAGAUGGUGGCUGGAGGAGUAUAAGUUUGAUGGGUACAAAUUUGAUGGUGUGACUUCAAUGAUGUACAAGAUUUCCUUGAUUAAGUAAAUGUAUUAUAUCUUUUAUUACCAAGAUUUACUUGAUUAAGAAAAUGCAUUUUAUGUUUUAUUACGUUGCAUAUGUAUUAUUUAUUUUAGUUUUGAUUCUAAAUUUUUAUUUUUACUUAAGAGUUCUAACUUUUGGAUUUUAAUUGUGUUAUUAAUUUAUUAUUUUAAAUUCUAAAUUUAAAUUCAUUAAUUUUUA